rnacentral:rRNA from 1 species
AGAGUUUGAUCCUGGCUCAGGAUGAACGCUAGCUACAGGCUUAACACAUGCAAGUCGAGGGGAAACGACAUCGAAAGCUUGCUUUUGAUGGGCGUCGACCGGCGCACGGGUGAGUAACGCGUAUCCAACCUGCCCACCACUUGGGGAUAACCUUGCGAAAGUAAGACUAAUACCCAAUGAUAUCUCUAGAAGACAUCUGAAAGAGAUUAAAGAUUUAUCGGUGAUGGAUGGGGAUGCGUCUGAUUAGCUUGUUGGCGGGGUAACGGCCCACCAAGGCAACGAUCAGUAGGGGUUCUGAGAGGAAGGUCCCCCACAUUGGAACUGAGACACGGUCCAAACUCCUACGGGAGGCAGCGGUGGGGAAUAUUGGGCAAUGGGGGGAACCCUGACCCAGCAACGCCGCGUGGAGGAAGAAGGUUUUCGGAUCGUAAACUCCUGUCCUUGGAGACGAGUAGAAGACGGUAUCCAAGGAGGAAGCCCCGGCUAACUACGUGCCAGCAGCCGCGGUAAUACGUAGGGGGCAAGCGUUGUCCGGAAUAAUUGGGCGUAAAGAGCGCGUAGGCGGCUCGGUAAGUCUGGAGUGAAAGUCCUGCUUUUAAGGUGGGAAUUGCUUUGGAUACUGUCGGGCUUGAGUGCAGGAGAGGUUAGUGGAAUUCCCAGUGUAGCGGUGAAAUGCGUAGAGAUUGGGAGGAACACCAGUGGCGGAGGCGACUAACUGGACUGUAACUGACGCUGAGGCGCGAAAGUGUGGGGAGCAAACAGGAUUAGAUACCCUGGUAGUCCACACUGUAAACGAUGAAUGCUAGGUGUAGGGGGUAUCGACCCCUUCUGUGCCGCAGUCAACACAAUAAGCAUUCCGCCUGGGGAGUACGGCCGCAAGGUUGAAACUCAAAGGAAUUGACGGGGGCCCGCACAAGCAGCGGAGCAUGUGGUUUAAUUCGACGCAACGCGAAGAACCUUACCAGGUCUUGACAUCCACUUAAACUUACAGAGAAGUAAGGUGUGCUUGCACAAAGUGAGACAGGUGGUGCAUGGUUGUCGUCAGCUCGUGUCGUGAGAUGUUGGGUUAAGUCCCGCAACGAGCGCAACCCUUAUCUUCAGUUACUAACGCGUAGAGGUGAGGACUCUGAAGAGACUGCCGGGGACAACUCGGAGGAAGGUGGGGACGACGUCAAAUCAUCAUGCCCCUUAUGACCUGGGCUACACACGUGCUACAAUGGCCACGACAGAGAGAAGCGAAAUCGCAAGGUAGAGCGGAACUCAAAAAAGUGGUCCCAGUUCGGAUUGUGGGCUGCAACCCGCCCACAUGAAGUCGGAGUUGCUAGUAAUCGCGGAUCAGCAUGCCGCGGUGAAUACGUUCCCGGGCCUUGUACACACCGCCCGUCACACCAUGGGAGUUGGGAGUGCCCAAAGCCGGUGAGGCAACCGCAAGGAGCCAGCCGUCUAAGGCAAGACCAAUGACUGGGGUGAAGUCGUAACAAGGUA